rnacentral:tRNA from 1 species
GCCGUCGUAGCUCAGGGGUAGAGCACGUCAUUGGUAAUGACGGGGCCGGUGGUUCAAUUCCACCCGACGGCACCA